UACGUAGGGGCCGAGCGUUGUCCGGAGUUACUGGGCGUAAAGCGCGCGCAGGCGGCCGUCUAAGCCUACCGUGAAAGCCCCCCGGCUCAACCGGGGAGGGUCGGUGGGGGACUGGGCGGCUAGAGUGCGGUAGGGGCAGAGGGGAAUUCCUGGUGUAGCGGUGAAAUGCGUAGAGAUCAGGAAGAACACCGGUGGCGAAAGCGCUCUGCUAGGCCGCAACUGACACUGAGGGACGAAAGCUAGGGGAGCGAAUGGG
rnacentral:rRNA from 1 species